rnacentral:tRNA from 1 species
GGUGGGAUGUCGGAGCGGUUUAACGAGCUGGUCUUGAAAACCAGUAUCCCGCAAAACGGGAUCAGAGGUUCGAAUCCUCUUCCCACCGCCA